rnacentral:lncRNA from 1 species
GGCAUUAGUCAAUCUGAAAGACAUAACCUUGGACUUGAACUGACCGUACUGCAUUAAAAAGCUGGAGUGAAUGAAUCUUUACCCGAGAAGCUUAGAGAGCUGGUACUCAACUUUAGCAAGUUCGGUGCAACUCAUGCGGUAAGCAGGCUUUGAGAUUGGUUAAGUUCCUAGAAGUAGAUCAAUGGAAAAUUUUAUCUUCCAUGGGGGAGGUAGACCAGGCAG